UACGGAGGGUGCAAGCGUUAUCCGGAAUCACUGGGUUUAAAGGGUGCGUAGGCGGUCUACUAAGUCAGUUGUGAAAUUCCCUCGCUUAACGAGUGGGACUGCGAUUGAUACUGGAAGACUUGAAUCAGGUUGAGGUAGGCGGAAUGUGACAUGUAGCGGUGAAAUGCUUAGAUAUGUCAUAGAACACCGAUUGCGAAGGCAGCUUGCUGGACCUGAAUUGACGCUGAGGCACGAAAGCGUGGGGAGCAAACAGG
rnacentral:rRNA from 1 species